AAGGGUUGCCUUCUCUGAGGAGAGAGCCUCAACCUGGCUCAGUAGGCAGAAAUAAUAAUUUUAGUAUUUGCACAAGCACUGGAGAUAUUUUUGUGAUUUAUUUGAUGAAUUUAAAUGACAAUAUAAAGCAAUUAAGUCCAUGACUAACUGAAUCUUGCCGACUUGUGUAUUCCUGUAAUGAAACUCAAAGGUCUAAGGUGUCUGUUUUAUGUUUAUAUUUUGGGAGUUUCCACUUUUUGUGUGUGCAUUUGCAUGUAAUAAUCAGAAAUUUUUGGCAUAGUUUUAUUUCCUUACUGAGAAUCACAGAUGCAAAUAGACUUGGCAGACACCAAAUUUAGCAUCCUUAUUACUGAAGUUCACCUGCGUCAUUUGAAAGAUGUUAGGAAACACAAACCUGGGCUUGUUU
rnacentral:misc_RNA from 1 species